rnacentral:rRNA from 1 species
GACGAACGCUGGCGGCGUGCCUAACACAUGCAAGUCGAACGGAGUCGGCCCCCGCAAGGGACUGACUUAGUGGCGAACGGGUGAGUAACGCGUGAGCAACCUGCCUUUCAGUGGGGGACAACAGUUGGAAACGACUGCUAAUACCGCAUAAUGCAUUUUGACCGCAUGAUCGAGAUGCCAAAGAUUUAUUGCUGAAAGAUGGGCUCGCGUCUGAUUAGAUAGUUGGUGGGGUAACGGCCCACCAAGUCGACGAUCAGUAGCCGGACUGAGAGGUUGAACGGCCACAUUGGGACUGAGAUACGGCCCAGACUCCUACGGGAGGCAGCAGUGGGGAAUAUUGGGCAAGUGGGGGAAACCCUGACCCAGCAACGCCGCGUGAAGGAAGAAGG